AUGUGCCACGCGUACACUGCGGUUUAUUCGCACUGUCGGCACCCACCUGGCGACUGUUCACUACGGUUUGUUGGCC
rnacentral:sRNA from 1 species